rnacentral:sRNA from 1 species
AACCAAAACAUUUUUAAUGGAUUUUUGAUGUGUUCUUUUAAUAUGUGUGAAAAGUGUAUAAAUUAGAUUAAUUAGGAACGGAGGGACGAUUAUUUUUCUAUUUUCAUCGCUAUCUCCGUCUUCUCCAGAGUUACCGCUGUGUAAGUUAUUAUA